rnacentral:rRNA from 1 species
UACGUAGGGGGCAAACGUUGUCCGGAUUUAUUGGGCGUAAAGAGCGUGUAGGCGGCCAUACAGGUCAGCUGUGAAAACUCGAGGCUCAACCUCGAGACGUCGGUUGAAACCGUAUGGCUAGAGUCCGGAAGAGGAGAGUGGAAUUCCCGGUGUAGCGGUGAAAUGCGCAGAUAUCGGGAAGAACACCCGUGGCGAAGGCGGCUCUCUGGGACGGUACUGACGCUGAGACGCGAAAGCGUGGGGAGCGAACAGG